GGGAGUAGAGAAUGAAAUAGCAAUAGGAAGACAAACAAUAAAUGACAUAAUUUGAACAGAGAUGACCUUGUCUAGACUUUUUUGUUUAGAAACAGGGAAACAGGUCUGCAGAAGGAAAUGGUUUUUCUAAGAUCACACCUUCCCUUGCAAUGAUAUUCCAGGAUUUUCAUGACUUUGAUUUUUAAAAGUUGACUGUGGGGAAAAUGAAAUGCAUGCUGAAAAGGUAGCUCUGAGGCCAGAGUUCUGGGCACAUUCCUGUUGGUAGACUAUAUUCAGGAAUGCUGCUAGCUCUUAGGAGAGAAGAAAAGUGCUCUCAGAAUCUUGUUUCAUGUAUAUACCGCCCUUUUCUUGGAUAAAGCUCGGAAGGACUUUCCUUUACCAUUCCCGGCUCCACUCUCCCAAGGGGCUAGUGAAACAUUUGACCUUCCAUUUCCUAGCAUCUUAGGGAAGGCCAGGCAGGCAACCAAGUGGUCUUUUGGUUUGAUGUGAAAAGAGGAGACUUUAGCUCCAGCUUCAGUUUCUGGUUGUGAUUUGGUGGAGCACCCAGAGUGAACACGCAGUUUGGGGCUCUGGUUGAGGUAGGAGAGAGGGUUGUAAGGACACAGCUGGAAAUGGCUCAUUCCAGUACAACGCGAGUACAAGUAAAAUCCUCGUUCUCAUAAACACGGCUACAAACCUCCGUAGCCCAGAGGUGUUCAAGCUCACACAUUUCAGUCAAUACCCCGUGUACUAACCGAUUUGGGUGGCUCUGGAAAUCAAAGGAAGAUGGUCAGAUCAGCGGUGGAGCUCCUCUAUGGUGUGACUCAGCUGUUGAGUCAGGGGAACCAUUUAUCUCUUCCCAUUUCAGGUUGGACUAAUAACUGCAGUCUCUGGAAGGACUAAGUGUACUUCCAUGGAAAGAAACUAAUCAGAAGGACAUUUGGGGCUCAUUUGGCCAAAAUAUAGUACAUGCUCUUGAAGUUUCCACAAUAGAACCAUCUGUUUUGGGCUGGUUCUUUCUUUAUUAUCCCUGCCCCCUCCCCUUUUGGUCUGUCUUACUGUCUCUACCUCAUUUCUCAAUUGAGCCUUCCAAGUUAGCGUGAUUACCUCAUGGCUAUAAAACAUGGCUAAGAACCGAACUUUUCACAUUUCUCCAAAGGGGCUUCAGAUAUCUGGUGGAUACAUUUCCUUCAUUGGCCAAGUUUUCCCAGGGCCUUUCUUUUACAUCUUAAUAUCUGUCUGACUGCAAGAGGGGUUUUUGUGUGUGUGUGUGUGGGGGGGGGGGGGGUGUUGCCCUUUUGUGCCCAUGAACAUUUAACAAAAGUAUAGAGAGGAGCUCAGCCAAGUAGAUGCUCUUCCAACUAUCCUGUUUCUUGGCUACCGAUAUAAAUAAAAGAGGCUGCGGCCACAACAUUUUCAAGUUAGCAGAAGGAAAAUAUACUUAUCAGUGGUGACUGCUUUCAAAAAUAACAUUUAUUGUUUUCUUAAUUAUAAAGUUAAUAUGUCCCUGCAGAGAAUUUGGAAAGCUCAAAGAAGCAUAAGGAAUAAAUUAAGUUACUCAUUUGUGCAUGUUUUGAAAAGUUUACCCUCAAAGCUUUUGUAAGAAAAGACCCUCUUCUGUGGAAAUCUGGCUUUCUUGUUUAGAAUAUCUGUCUUCUCUUUCAGUUUCUAAAUCUUAUUAUAAGAGUUCCUCAGUUGCUAUAAACUCCAUACUGAACCAAGGACUUUCUGAAUUAAUAAAAGAAAGAAUUCAUUUAUUCCAAAUAUCCUGAUGACUGAUUUUCUGAUGAGAGCUACCACAGGUAACACAGUGCUUGAGUUACAUGCUGUGUUGCAAACCAAUUUUGGGGGAUAUUGUAAAUAUUAAAGUAAAGAGGAAAAAAGUAAGUUUGUAGGAUCAAUUUUUUUUCUUAGAGUGAAAAAAUGCAUAUAACUUUAGAGAAAUCUCGAAUGCAACCAGCUACUGUGUAUCCUUAGUAGAAUAGAUUUUUCUAGAAAGAUGAUUGUCAUGGUCUGGCUUUAGUGGUAGAUGUUAGCUUAGCUCCAGUGUGGUGAUGCUAAAACAAUUCCUAGGGGCAUUUUCAUAUUCACUUGACUCAUUCCUAAUUAUAGGAGAGCAUCACAUCAGCAUUCUGUCUUCCCAAGUUAUGUUGGAAGUCACAUGAUUAGUCCUUCGGCAAAAGUAGGGGGAGGGGGUUAAAUAUUUAAAGUUUUGAACUGAGUUCAGGAAAUAGGUGGGUGGACAUCUUAUUUCUUAGCCUGUUAUCAUGUGAUUUGUGUGUGGGAAUUACUUUUUAAGCAAGAAUAGUGCACUAUAUUGACUGACCAUGUUGUCCAAUGUAAUGUUCCUGAGAACCAGAGUGUAGACAAGUGCUCUUUGUCUGAGUGAAUGAAAACCGUGUAUUGGCAUGAAUGGCCAUGUGCAUUUGCAGGGAGCAGGGGCACAUGCCAGGGCCUAUUGAAAGAAAAUGUUAAAAGCAUAUACAUAAAACUUAUCUGUGGAUCAGACGGGGGCUGCCGGGAAUGCGUGUUUUCCAAGUCUUAAACUUGCACUGGAAGCAAAAGUGAGGUGUGGGUGGUUGUACAGAGGAAAAAUGCUCUUGGAACAACAUUAGACGUGAGGUAAUCAGUGGUCUUCAGAACCUGCAGUCCACUGCAAGAAUUUCUUAGGCCUUAAAGGUUGUAAAAGAGGCAGUUGUGUUUGCUUUGUGCAUUUUACAGCUAUUCAACGUGAUACUUUGAAAGGAGGGUCAAUGUCUUCUUGGCUGAGGAACUUGAAGUUGACUUGUGUGAGUGAAGUCUGAGGGUUCUAAUGAGUAGUGAUUAACAGCUCUGGGAAGAGUGCUCAUCCCUGAACCCUGCCCUGUGUGACCUGCUCCCAGAUUUUCAUCCAUGCCAGAAGAGCCAAUGAAAAGAUAAAGUCGAUGGACUAGGAAAUACCACAAGUACCUGCCAGAGUUCUGAAGUAUAGUGUCAAACGACAGGGCUGUGUAGAGAUGGCAGACAGACCUGAGGUGAACACUGAUUUUCUCCCAGUAGCUGUGUGACCUUAUUUCACCUGUAAAAUGGAGUGAUAACACUAUCACUUCCCCCAUCUCCACUAUACACCGGGUACAGCCUUGAUUCUAGCUCACCUGGCCAAAGUUGCAGCAUGCUGUCAUCCUACUUCGAUUCUUGUCUGCACACCAGCCGGGGUGGCCAUGAAGCUCACUCUCUCCAUCAGAAACCAUCUUGUGUUUGCUUUUUGUUAUGUCUCUCUGGUGCCCACUACAGAAGGCAAGCUUCAUGCUCAUGCUUCGGGUGCUCUGUUCUCGUUCUUUCAAACAAUUUUAAUUUCUGAGCUAAUUUGAAAUGGAAAUCAGGAAACCUAGAAUCUAGACUUAGUGCUGGCGCUUACUGGUUGGGAGUCUUUAAUUAAGUCACUUCUGGAGGCCUCGGUUUCCUUACUUGUAAAGAGGUGUAAUUAGUUUGCUAGGGCUUCCAUAAGAAAGUAGCACAGCCGAAACCGCUUAAACAACAGAAAUUUAUUUCCUCACAAUUUUGAAGGCUAGACCUUUGAGAUCAAGGUGUCACCAGGGUUGGUGCCUUCUGAGGCUUCUCUCGGAGAAGAUGUCGUCUCCCCCCUGUGUCUUCACAUGAUCUUCCCUCUGUGUGUGUCUGUGCCUUCUUAUAAGGACAACAGUCAUACUGAAUCAGCACCCAAUUGUACCUCAAUUAUCUCCUUAAGAUUUUCUUAAAA